CCUACGGGGGGCUGCAGUGGGGAAUUUUCCGCAAUGGGCGAAAGCCUGACGGAGCAAGACCGCGUGAGGGAAGAAGGCUCUUGGGUCGUAAACCUCUUUUGUCAGGGAAGAACAAAAUGACGGUACCUGACGAAUCAGCCUCGGCUAACUCCGUGCCAGCAGCCGCGGUAAUACGGAGGAGGCAAGCGUUAUCCGGAAUUAUUGGGCGUAAAGCGUCCGCAGGUGGCUAUUCAAGUCUGCGGUCAAAGACUGGGGCUUAACCCUGGAAAGGCCGU
rnacentral:rRNA from 1 species